GUGAUGAAGAGUUUGAUCCUGGCUCAGAAUAAACGCUGGCGGCGUGCCUAACACAUGCAAGUCGAGCGGGAAAGCCCUUCGGGGUGAGUACAGCGGCGGACGGGUGUCUAACGCGUGAAUUACCUACCCUUAAGUGAAGAAUACCCUCGAGAAAUCGAGGCUAACACUGCAUACGUCCCUACGGGGAGAAAGGUGGCUUUAUGUUGCCGCUGAAGGAUGGGUUUGCGUGCUAUUAGCUAGUUGGUAGGGUAAAGGCCUACCAAGACGAUGAUGGAUAACCGGCCUGAGAGGGUGUACGGUCACAUUGGAACUUAGACACGGUCCAAACUCCUACGGGAGGCAGCAGUGAGGAAUAUUGCGCAAUGGGCGAAAGCCUGACGCAGCGACGCCGCGUGGAGGAUGAAGGUCUUCGGAUUGUAAACUUCUGUUAAGUGGGAAGAAAGUCCUGUCUAAACAACAGGUAUGACGGUACCACUAGAGAAAGCACCGGCUAACCUCGUGCCAGCAGCCGCGGUAAUACGAGGGGUGCAAGCGUUAUUCGGAAUUACUGGGCGUAAAGGGUGUGUAGACGGCGCGUUAAGUCUGUUGUUAAAUCUCCCGGCCUAACCGGGAAAUCGCGAUGGAAACUAGCGUGCUAGAGAGUGAGAGAGAGAAGUGGAAUUCUCGGAGUAGCGGUAAAAUGCGUAGAUAUCGAGAGGAACACCGAUGGCGAAAGCAGCUUCUUGGCUCAUUUCUGACGUUGAGACACGAAAGCGUGGGGAGCAAACAGGAUUAGAUACCCUGGUAGUCCACGCCGUAAACGAUGACCACUAGACGUCAGUUUGGCUUUGCCGAAUUGGUGUCGUAGC
rnacentral:rRNA from 1 species